AAUCUUCCACAAUGGACGAAAGUCUGAUGGAGCAACGCCGCGUGAGUGAAGAAGGUUUUCGGAUCGUAAAACUCUGUUGUAAGGGAAGAACAAGUACAGUAGUAACUGGCUGUACCUUGACGGUACCUUAUUAGAAAGCCACGGCUAACUACGUGCCAGCAGCCGCGGUAAUACGUAGGUGGCAAGCGUUGUCCGGAAUUAUUGGGCGUAAAGCGCGCGCAGGCGGUCCUUUAAGUCUGAUGUGAAAUCACGUGGCUCAACCACGUGCGGUCAUUGGAAACUGGAGGACUUGAGUGCAGAAGAGGAAAGUGGAAUUCCAAGUGUAGCGGUGAAAUGCGUAGAGAUUUGGAGGAACACCAGUGGCGAAGGCGACUUUCUGGUCUGUAACUGACGCUGAGGCGCGAAAGCGUGGGGAGCAAACAGG
rnacentral:rRNA from 1 species